rnacentral:rRNA from 1 species
AAAACUGGCGAUAGAACGUGACUGCGGAGGGACAUUACACAACAAAAAUAUGAGGGUGUGGUUUGCUGGCAACAGCGUCCGCCCCAAGUAUUUUUCACCCAUGUCUUUUGCGCACUUUUUGUUUCCUGGGCGAGUUCGCUCGCCACCAGGACCCAACCAUAAACCUUUUUUUAUGCAGUUGCAAUCAGCGUCAGUAUAAUAAUUCAAUUUAUUAAAACUUUCAACAACGGAUCUCUUGGUUCUGGCAUCGAUGAAGAACGCAGCGAAAUGCGAUACGUAGUGUGAAUUGCAGAAUUCAGUGAAUCAUCGAAUCUUUGAACGCACAUUGCGCCCUUUGGUAUUCCAAAGGGCAUGCCUGUUCGAGCGUCAUUUGUACCCUCAAGCUUUGCUUGGUGUUGGGCGUCUUUUUGUCUCUCCCCUUGUUGGGGGAGACUCGCCUUAAAACGAUUGGCAGCCGACCUACUGGUUUUCGGAGCGCAGCACAAAUUUGCGCCUUCCAAUCCACGGGGCGGCAUCCAGCAAGCCUUUGUUUUCUAUAACAAAUCCACAUUUUGACCUCGGAUCAGGUAGGGAUACCCGCUGAACUUAAGCAUAUCAA